CGCAUCUGUGCAUGCAGCAUAUCAAUAAGCGGAGGAAAAGAAACUAACAAGGAUUCCCCUAGUAACGGCGAGUGGAAGCGGGAAGAGCUCAAAUUUGAAAUCUUAAAGGGUUUCCCUUUACGAAUUGUAGUUUAAAGAAGUGUUUUCUGUUGAGGUUUUGGUAAAAGUUCUUUGGAAUAGGACAUCAUAGAGGGUGAGAAUCCCGUAUUUGACCUUUACUUUCAACUUUGUGAUACACUUUCAAAGAGUCGGAUUGUUUGGGAAUGCAGUCCAAAAUGGGUGGUAAAUUUCAUCUAAAGCUAAAUAUUGGCGAGAGACCGAUAGCGAACAAGUACCGUGAGGGAAAGAUGAAAAGAACUUUGAAAAGAGAGUUAAACAGUACGUGAAAUUGUCAAAAGGGAAGCGUUUGACACCAGUGUUGUUUUUCUGAAAAUCAAUUAAAGAACUGUUUAUGCUAAGCUGUUUAGACUUUAUCAGCUAUCUGUUUAGUUUUGAGCUUUUCUUUAAUGCACUUUUCAGUUAACAAGUCAACAUCAAUUUCUUUUGCUGUAAAAAAGCUUGAGGAAGGUGGCUUGAGAUUCGUCUUAAGUGUUUAUAGCCUCUUGCCUAUGCAGUCGGAGAGAUUGAGGUCUGCAGCGUAGAUCCUUCGGGGCUAAAUGCAUUUGUGCUAAGUUAUAGCAUUUUAUAGACAACUUGUUGACUAUGAUUUGUCUUGUAGCUUACUCGCUUAUGUUAUUUUACCUACGCUUAGGAUGUUGAGUCAUCACACAUCUCU
rnacentral:rRNA from 1 species